GCCCAGCCGUAAACUUUUUCUUACAUCCUAUCGCCAGGGAACUACGAGCAAAGCUUAAAACCCAAAGGACUUGACGGUACCCUAUAUCCCCCUAGAGGAGCCUGUUCUAUAACCGAUGAUCCACGUUUAACCUUACCAUUUUUUGCCAAUUCAGCCUGUAUACCUCCGUCGCCAGCUUACCACGUGAGCGCCAAUUAGUAGGCAUAAUGUCAACUUCAACAAUACGUCAGGUCAAGGUGCAGCAGACAAAAUGGGUGAGAUGGGCUACACUUUCUACCAUAGAAGAAACGAAAAACUACCUAUGAAAAACAGUUAGAAGGCGGAUUUAGCAGUAAAAUGAAGUUAGCAUAUUCAUUUUAACCCGGCACUAGGGUGUGU
rnacentral:rRNA from 1 species